rnacentral:tRNA from 1 species
AGAAACUUAGGUUAAAUAAGACCAAGAGCCUUCAAAGCCCUCAGUAAGUAUGUUACUUANUUUCUG